AGCAAAGAUGCUCUCCUAGAGCGAUGUAUUGGCGGAUUCACACAAAAUAAUAAUGAGAGUUUGAACCAGCUUAUUUGGAAGAUUGCGCCGAAAGUUGAGAGUGGUUCAGCAAUUAUCGUCGAAUUUGCAUCUUCAGUGGCUGCUUGUGUUUUCAAUGAAGGCUGUGAAGCUUAUUUAACCUUCCUAGAAGAGAUGCGAAUCAGUACUGGUCCAAGUUGUCAUGGAUGGGCGCUUCUAACCGACGAUAUUCGAAUGAACAGAGCAGAUGAGCGAGCAGCUAAAACCGCUAAAAAUGAUAGAAUUCGCCGCAGACUUGAUCAAAAAGAUGCUUUGGACAUUCUUGACGAAAGUUCUAUACUCUAUGGUCCCGGCAUUGAUGAUUCUAUAUGAUCCAGUGCUGAGGUAUGACGUGCACCGCAAAAUGUAUUUUUUCUGAGGCGCCUGCGAAGAAUUGCUGCCAUUCGGUCAAUUUUCAAUAUUUUUCAACCAAUAUUUCACAGAAUAUAGUUCAAUUACUACUCUUUAAUGUACAAUAAUCAGAAAUAAAUUUACUUUCACCGUACGCC
rnacentral:lncRNA from 1 species